rnacentral:rRNA from 1 species
UACGAAGGGUGCAAGCGUUACUCGGAAUUACUGGGCGUAAAGCGUGCGUAGGUGGUUCGUUAAGUCUGUCGUGAAAGCCCCGGGCUCAACCUGGGAACGGCGAUGGAUACUGGCGGGCUAGAGUGCGGUAGAGGGUGGUGGAAUUCCACGUGUAGCAGUGAAAUGCGUAGAGAUGUGGAGGAACACCGAUGGCGAAGGCAGCCCCCUGGGCCGACACUGACGCUCAGGCACGAAAGCGUGGGGAGCAAACAGG